GACGAACGCUGGCGGCGUGCUUAACACAUGCAAGUCGAACGAUGAAGCUGGAGCUUGCUCCGGUGGAUUAGUGGCGAACGGGUGAGUAACACGUGAGCAAUCUGCCCUUGACUCUGGGAUAACUGCGGGAAACUGUAGCUAAUACCGGAUACUUUCACUGGAAGGCAUCUUCUGGUGAAGAAAGAAUUUCGGUCAAGGAUGAGCUCGCGGCCUAUCAGCUUGUUGGUGAGGUAACGGCUCACCAAGGCGACGACGGGUAGCCGGCCUGAGAGAGGGACCGGCCACACUGGGACUGAGACACGGCCCAGACUCCUACGGGAGGCAGCAGUGGGGAAUAUUGCACAAUGGGCGCAAGCCUGAUGCAGCAACGCCGCGUGAGGGAUGAAGGCCUUCGGGUUGUAAACCUCUUUUAGCAGGGAAGAAGCGAAAGUGACGGUACCUGCAGAAAAAGCACCGGCUAACUACGUGCCAGCCGCCGUAACAC
rnacentral:rRNA from 1 species